rnacentral:rRNA from 1 species
AGAGUGAACGCUGGCGGUGCGCCUAAAACAUGCAAGUCGAAUGGGUUUAGACCCAUGGCGAACGGCUGCGUAACACGUGGAUACCUACCUCGUACUCAGGGAUACCUCUCCGAAAGGAGAGCUAAUACCGGAUGGUCCCGAAAGGGUAAAGAUUUUUCGGUACGAGAGGGGUCUGCGGCCUAUCAGGUAGUUGGUGAGGUAAUGGCUCACCAAGCCGAUGACGGGUAGCUGGUCUGAGAGGACGACCAGCCAGAAUGGAACUGAGACACGGUCCAUACUCCUACGGGAGGCAGCAGUUAGGAAUCUUCCGCAAUGGGCGCAAGCCUGACGGAGCGACACCGCGUGAAGGAUGAAGCCCUUACCGGGUGUAAACUUCUGUUAUGAGGGACGAAAUUUUGACGGUACCUCAUGAGAAGCACCGGCUAAUUCUGCGCCAGCAGCCGC